UACGGAGGGUGCAAGCGUUAUCCGGAUUCACUGGGUUUAAAGGGUGCGUAGGCGGGUAUGUAAGUCAGCGGUGAAAUCCCCCGAGCUUAACUUGGGAACUGCCGUUGAUACUAUAUAUCUUGAAUGUCGUGGAGGUUAGCGGAAUAUGUCAUGUAGCGGUGAAAUGCUUAGAUAUGACAUAGAACACCCAUUGCGAAGGCAGCUAACUACGCGAAAUAUUUGACGCUGAGGCACGAAAAGCGUGGGGGAUCAAAACAGG
rnacentral:rRNA from 1 species